CUUUCCCUCUUGCACAAUCAACAAUUUCAUCAGAAUGGAUUCUUUUCUCAAACAAAUGAAAACAAGGAUUUCCGGUGGAGAAGAUAAUUAUAAUUAUAAAAGAGAAGGAAAAAAGAAAGCAGUGUCAUUCAAAGAAGAUAAAAAGAAGUCACCAAAUUGGUUCAAGAUGAAUGCCGGAGAUGCUAGUGAUAGUGAGUUUUGCGACUGACAGUUGCAGCGGCGGCUUAUGCAAUUACAACUC